rnacentral:rRNA from 1 species
GAUGAACGCUGGCGGCGUGCCUAAUACAUGCAAGUCGAGCGAACAGACGAGGAGCUUGCUCCUCUGACGUUAGCGGCGGACGGGUGAGUCACACGUGUAUAACCUACCUAUAAGACUGGGAUAACUUCGGGAAACCGGCGCUAAUACCGGAUAAUAUAUUGAACCGCAUGGUUCAAUAGUGAAAGACGGUUUUGCUGUCACUUAUAGAUGGAUCCGCGCCGCAUUAGCUAGUUGGUAAGGUAACGGCUUACCAAGGCAACGAUGCGUAGCCGACCUGAGAGGGUGAUCGGCCACACUGGAACUGAGACACGGUCCAGACUCCUACGGGAGGCAGCAGUAGGGAAUCUGCCGCAAUGGGCGAAAGCCUGACGGAGCAACGCCGCGUGAGUGAUGAAGGUCUUCGGAUCGUAAAACUCUGUUAUUAGGGAAGAACAAAUGUGUAAGUAACUAUGCACGUCUUGACGGUACCUAAUCAGAAAGCCGCGGCUAACUACGUG